GUAGAGCGUCUGCCUUACAAGCAGAAUGUCGGCGGUUCGACUCCGUCAACGCCCA
rnacentral:tRNA from 1 species